rnacentral:rRNA from 1 species
UACGGGGGGGGCAAGCGUUGUUCGGAAUUACUGGGCGUAAAGGGCUCGUAGGUGGCCAACUAAGUCAGACGUGAAAUCCCUCAGCUUAACUGGGGAACUGCGUCUGAUACUGGAUGGCUUGAGUUUGGGAGAGGGAUGCGGAAUUCCAGGUGUAGCGGUGAAAUGCGUAGAUAUCGGGAGGAACACCGGUGGCGAAGGCGGUUCUCUGGGCCUGACCUGACGCUGAGGAGCGAAAGCGUGGGGAGCGAACAGG